rnacentral:lncRNA from 1 species
GAAUUCUAAGGACAAAACAAGAUUAAUCAAAUGAGGGCCGUGCAAUUAUCAUUUUUGUUCGACACGGCACACCUCUAAUUCUAAUUAAAAGAGAACUACAUUUGAAGCGAAUUGACUGCUAAUUAAAAGAACGUCAUUUUUGUAUCCCUGUGUACUCAAAGAACGUCGACUACUGAUUUAAAAAAUUCACCCAACAAUUCAGUGAUAUCUACACCAUUGUAAUGCAUCAUGUACCAUAGAACACUCGAUUUACAUAGCUUCAGAUUGUUCAAAUUAUUAUUUGACUUCAACAGGAUCUUUUCACAAGGAAACAAUUCUAAUACCUCAACAAAUUGCAUACUGGCAUAACACUCCAACACACACAAAAAGAUUUACAUGUACCUAUGAAUCACAGCACAUAUGCCUCUCAGUACAAACCUAAUGCCGAACGGACAGCAAAUUCGGACCAAAUUGUACUCGCAAAUCUCAACAGCAAACUCGACUGAACCCAAAUCUGUCCGGAAACCUUGCCGGAAAUCUCAGACCUCGUAUGAAAAUCUCACCGGAAACUUUAGAACCCACCCGAAUCUGAAAAUUAGAGCUUUGACGCGACUAAAUUUCAAGCAAAAUUAACAAGCAGGACGAACCAAAUGCUGUGGCCGAGAUCGGAAAUGGAUGAAAACCGAGCGAACCAAAUCUUGACGAUAUACAACGACAGACUCAAACAAAAUCAAACGAGACCUCGAACGGAUGUCAGCUCUUAGUCAGGCUCGAACCAACAAAAACACACACGGGUUCCAUGAUGAGACAGAAAUUGAAACCGAAAGGGAGACAAUUCAAACCUAUAUUAUUGUUUAUCUUUUCGAAUUCGAGACAGAAUGAAGCAAGAAAAAUCCGAACUGCUCUGUUUAUUACUCAUUCUUUCAUGUGUGUGUGUGUUGAAGGUGAAGCUCGUCGGAGAUGGAAGGUCGUUUGUCUUUGCUGGAUUUCCAAUUUUUUUUUAAAGCAUCAGAACGAUGGGACUCUCCCCUUUAUUGUAACCGCUGCCCAAUUUUCAGGCGUUAUUU